UACGUAGGGUGCGAGCGUUAAUCGGGAUUACUGGGCGUAAAGCGUGCGCAGGCGGCUCUUCAAGUCAGAUGUGAAAGCCCCGGGCUUAACCUGGGAAUGGCGUUUGAAACUGGAGGGCUGGAGUGUGGCAGAGGGAGGUGGAAUUCCACGUGUAGCAGUGAAAUGCGUAGAGAUGUGGAGGAACACCGAUGGCGAAGGCAGCCUCCUGGGCCAACACUGACGCUCAUGCACGAAAGCGUGGGGAGCAAAUAGG
rnacentral:rRNA from 1 species